GACUGGUAAUUGGUCAUCUGUGCGUAAUCACUGGAACAACCCUGGACAAAAGUUCUCUUGACCGAGACCAUCUCCGAGUAACACUGUCCGAAGUCGCUCGGUCAACGGAAGAUCGAUUGAUCGACCUAUUCCUAUGUUGCAGUGAUUGUGAAAUCCAUAAUCGGAUGUUCAUGUAAUCCCUGCAUGUUGUGGCGUUUGCUCCAUAGGCCUGGACAGCAGAAGUGCGUUUAGCCAGCGCGAACUAACUUUGUUUUGUUUUCUGUGGGUUCUUCGAAGGAUAUGUUUACAAAGAGGAUUUGGACCACGGGUGUUUGUUGGUUUAUUUCAAGCCCUACAUAGUGCGAAAGGAAUUUGGCUAUGGAGAUGACGAAUUAUAUAUCUCUUACCUGUAUAUGCUUGGUUAUGUAUAUGGAUGGAUAUAUAGCUUCUGAUUAACUGAGGGCCUAUACGGUAUUAUACAUACUGCAAAUUUCCAAUCCGGUCAAAAUCCAUAGUCGACUGCUAGGAGCACACAACAGAAACCGAACACAGGAAGUUAGCCUUCUGCGCUGGUCUUGGAUCCAGAUUGGAGGCUUGGAACUAGAAGGACAAAGGAGGACCUGGACUAGACCUAGUCUAGCUUUUCGCUGUGAUCUUGCACAUAUUGGCCUAGUAGUAGAAGACUCCAAAUGCAGCCGCUACACAAAACAGAGAGUCCUGUAGAGAUGGGAGGAGAAAAGAUGAAAA